rnacentral:rRNA from 1 species
UUGUUCGUGUUUGCCAUUCGUUUGGCUUUUUCGAGUUCGCUUUUGGGUUUUCCCUUUUUACUUUGAGAAAAUUAGAGUGUUUCAAGCAGACUUUUGUCUUGAAUACUUCAGCAUGGAAUAAUAGAGUAGGACUUUGGUUCUAUUUGUGGUUAUAACCCCC